GUGAACGCUGGCGGUAGGCCUAACACAUGCAAGUCGAACGGCAGCACAGUAAGCGCUUGCUCUUACGGGUGGCGAGUGGCGGACGGGUGAGGAAUACAUCGGAAUCUACUUUUUCGUGGGGGAUAACGUAGGGAAACUUACGCUAAUACCGCAUACGACCUACGGGUGAAAGCAGGGGAUCUUCGGACCUUGCGCGAUUGAAUGGGCCGAUGUCGGAUUAGCUAGUUGGCGGGGUAAAGGCCCACCACGGCGACGAUCCGUAGCUGGUCUGAGAGGAUGAUCAGCCACACUGGAACUGAGACACGGUCCAGACUACUACGGGAAGCAGCAGUGGGGAAUAUUGGACAAUGAGCGCAAGCCUGAUCCAGCCAUACCGCGUGAGUGAAGAAGGCCUUCGGGUUGUAAAGCCCUUUUGUUGGGAAAGAAAAGCAGCAGGUUAAUACCCCGCUGUUCUGACGGUACCCAAAGAAUAAGCACCGGCUAACUUCGUG
rnacentral:rRNA from 1 species